rnacentral:rRNA from 1 species
UACAGAGGGGGCAAGCGUUGUUCGGAAUUACUGGGCGUAAAGGGCGCGUAGGCGGCCUGCUAAGUCGGAUGUGAAAUCCCUCGGCUCAACCGAGGAACUGCAUCCGAUACUGGCGGGCUUGAAUCCGGGAGAGGGAUGUGGAAUUCCAGGUGUAGCGGUGAAAUGCGUAGAUAUCUGGAGGAACACCGGUGGCGAAGGCGGCAUCCUGGACCGGUAUUGACGCUGAGGCGCGAAAGCUAGGGGAGCAAACGGGGAUUAAGAAACC